GACGAACGCUGGCGGCGUGCUUAACACAUGCAAGUCGAACGGUGAAGCUCCAGCUUGCUGGAGUUGAUCAGUGGCGAACGGGUGAGUAACACGUGAGCAACCUGCCCCUGACUCUGGAAUAAGCGCUGGAAACGGCGUCUAAUACUGGAUACGAGAAGUGUCCGCAUGGGCACUUUCUGGAAAGUUUUUCGGUUGGGGAUGGGCUCGCGGCCUAUCAGCUUGUUGGUGAGGUAAUGGCUCACCAAGGCGACGACGGGUAGCCGGCCUGAGAGGGCGACCGGCCACACUGGGACUGAGACACGGCCCAGACUCCUACGGGAGGCAGCAGUGGGGAAUAUUGCACAAUGGGCGAAAGCCUGAUGCAGCGACGCCGCGUGAGGGAUGACGGCCUUCGGGUUGUAAACCUCUUUCAGCAGGGAAGAAGCGAAAGUGACGGUACCUGCAGAAGAAGCACCGGCUAACUACGUG
rnacentral:rRNA from 1 species